GAAUUGUGAAUCCAUUAAAUCUCUUUCCUUUAUAAAUUACCCAGUCUCAGUAUGUCUUUUUUAGCCACAUGAAAACAGACUAAUACAUCUAUCAUUACUCUGA